rnacentral:rRNA from 1 species
CCUACGGGAGGCUGCAGUGGGGAAUAUUGGACAAUGGGGGCAACCCUGAUCCAGCCAUGCCGCGUGUGUGAAGAAGGCCCUCGGGUUGUAAAGCACUUUCAGUGAGGAAGAACGCCUGGUGGUUAAUACCCAUCAGGAAAGACAUCACUCACAGAAGAAGCACCGGCUAACUCCGUGCCAGCAGCCGCAGUAAUACGGAGGGUGCGAGCGUUAAUCGGAAUUACUGGGCGUAAAGCGCGCGUAGGUGGCUUGAUAAGCCGGUUGUGAAAGCCCCGGGCUCAACCUGGGAACGGCAUCCGGAACUGUCAAGCUAGAGUGCAGGAGAGGAAGGUAGAAUUCCCGGUGUAGCGGUGAAAUGCGUAGAGAUCGGGAGGAAUACCAGUGGCGAAGGCGGCCUUCUGGACUGACACUGACACUGAGGUGCGAAAGCGUGGGUAGCAAACAGGAUUAGAUACCCUUGUAGUC